rnacentral:lncRNA from 1 species
CAGCGGCAAACUCGCCCCUGAACCACGCUAAAAUGGCAUCCUUAGCAAAUGUCUCAGACAUCAUGGGAGGUGGUUGGACCACCGGAGCACCACCAGCGGUGGGCAUAAAGUGAACUCGAUCGGAAUUCGCAACAACGCCGGCUGCCGGCGGCAUAUUGAAACAGGCAGUGUGAAAAUUUAACCCAAAAGGUUCAAUCAGGUGAAAUUAAAGAUUCCAAAUUUUUUGGGCCAGUUGAAAGUGUAGUUGGUUUGAAUAGUCUAAAUGGGUGCUAACAGUAAUCGUAUAGCUCUCAGUACGUGUCGGCCUAUAUUUCGGUUGAAGAUUUUCGAUGAAAAUGAGCACAAACAAACAAGACGUUAGAGAGAGAGAGAAAUUUUG